rnacentral:rRNA from 1 species
AAUGAACGUUGGCGGCGAGGAUUAGGCAUGCAAGUCGCGCGGAAAGGCUCCUUCGGGAGCACUCGAGCGGCGUAAGGGAGAGUAACGCGUGGAUACCUACCCCCGGAUCUGGGAUAGCGGCGGGAAACUGAGGGUAAUACCGGAUAACGUCUCCGGACCAAAGGUGAGAUUCCGUCUGGGGAGGGGUCCGCGUCCUAUUAGCUUGUUGGUGGGGUAAUGGCCUACCAAGGCAAUGAUGGGUAGCGGGUGUGAGAGCAUGACCCGUCUCACUGGGACUGAGACACUGCCCAGACACCUACGGGUGGCUGCAGUCGAGAAUCUUCGGCAAUGGGCGCAAGCCUGACCGAGCGACGCCGCGUGCGGGAUGAAGGCCUUCGGGUUGUAAACCGCUGUCAGAGGGGAACAAAGGCAUGAGGGUUCUCUCUCAUGUUUGAGUUAUCCUCAGAGGAAGUCCGGGCUAAGUUCGUGCCAGCAGCCGCGGUAAGACGAACCGGACAAACGUUAUUCGGAAUUACUGGGCUUAAAGGGUGCGUAGGCGGCCUGGCAAGUUGGGUGUGAAAUCCCACGGCUCAACCGUGGAAUUGCGCCCAAAACUGCCAGACUGGAGGGAGACAGAGGUGAGCGGAACUACGGGUGGAGCGGUGAAAUGCGUUGAUAUCAUUAGGAACACCUAUGGCGAAGGCAGCUCACUGGGUCUCUUCUGACGCUGAGGCACGAAAGCUAGGGUAGCGAACGGGAUUAGAUACCCCGGUAGUCCUAGCUGUAAACGAUGAGCACUAGACUGAGGGCCCUUCCACAGGCUCUCGGUCGUAGCGAAAGUGUUAAGUGCUCCGCCUGGGGAGUAUGGUCGGCAAGGCUGAAACUCAAAAGGAAUUGACGGGGGCUCACACAAGCGGUGGAGGAUGUGGCUUAAUUCGGAGGCUACGCGAUGACCUUAUCCUGGUCAUUGACAUGUUUGAGAAUUCUGCUGCGGAAAAGAGAGGAGUGCACACCUAUUCCCGGGGAGCUUUCUUGGGCACAGGUGCUGCAUGGCUGUUCAGUUCAGCUCGUGUCGUGAGAUGUCGGGGUUAAGUUUCCCCUUUACACCGGAGCGAAACCCCUUAAUCCUCUAGUUGCCAGCGGGUUCAUGCCGGGGACUCUAGGGAGACCGCCGGUGUUAAACCGGAGGAAGGUGGGGAUGACGUUCAAGUCCUCAUGGCCUUUAUGACCAGGGCUGCACACGUCCUACAAUGGACCGUACAAAGGGAAGCGACUCGCGAGCAAGCAAAUCCCAAACGGUCCCCAGUUCGGAU